GGUGCUAUGGUCUAAUGGUAAGGCGUUGGAUUGCAAAUCCUUUAUACUCUGGUUCGAAUCCGGAUAUCACCU
rnacentral:tRNA from 1 species